UACGUAGGGGGCAAGCGUUAUCCGGAUUUACUGGGUGUAAAGGGAGCGUAGACGGCGGUGCAAGCCAGAUGUGAAAGCCCGGGGCUCAACCCCGGGACUGCAUUUGGAACUGUGCUGCUAGAGUGUCGGAGAGGCAGGCGGAAUUCCUAGUGUAGCGGUGAAAUGCGUAGAUAUUAGGAGGAACACCAGUGGCGAAAGCGGCUCUCUGGUCUGUAACUGACGCUGAGGUUCGAAAGCGUGGGUAGCAAACAGG
rnacentral:rRNA from 1 species